rnacentral:lncRNA from 1 species
UAGAGUUCUAAAUAUGUGUUUUAAGUUUAUAGUAGAUUUUAAAAUUCAAAUUUAAGAAUUCUAAAUGGCUAUAAAAGUUCAUGUAGUUAAUGCCAAAGUUAUAGUGGUCAACCUGGUCUACAUAUUUAAUUUUGAUAAGUUUUUUACUUGAAGUUUUUUCGUGUCAAAUGUUUGUUUUAAACUCACAUAUUUUGAUAUUCAAUUUUUUUAUUUUUUUCAAAUAACCUCGAAUGGAGACAUAUCAUGUACUAAAGUUAUAGUCCUUGACAAGAUUUAAAUUUUUGUAGUUGAAGCUUUUGUUUCAUUUCAGUUCAUUUAGUAGCCAAGAUAUUAAAUACAAGAUCACAAAAUGUCUCUAAAAACUACUACGCAAACAUAAGGGAGGCGGGCAUUGCAACCGCUUCCAAUCAAAAGUCAUUGUUAAUGCUAGAUUAAUGGAGGCAGUUGUUUUGUCCGUCUCCAAAAUAAAAGUAAAAAAAAAGAAAAUUCCUGCAGCCUGAACCGGACGUGGGCUAGGAUCUUGGUUGCACGUCGCCGACUCGCCGUCACCAGCGGAUCCACCCAUGUCGAGGCCAGAUCCAUCGCUGUCGGAACCGCCCGUGCUAGGGCUAGAUCCAUCCGCGUUGUGUCAGAUACGCCAUGGUGGAGUCUGUCAUCGGUAGAUCCGCCCACAUUGGGGCCGAACCUGCCACGGUGGAGCCCGUCGCCGCCAGAUCCACCGUGGUGGAAAUUGCCACCACCAUAUCCCCC